GUUCAGACAAUCAAGUUAUCGGAUCAGGAUUUUCUUGGAGAAGCUAGCUGUGUGUUAUCAGAGCAAACUUCAAACAUCAGUUUCAGCCUUAGAAAAUAUGCACAGAGACAAGACUGGCAUCAGCUUUGUUAAGCAACACCAUGGUCGUGAAAAGCUUCAAAUGGAAAUCCUAGAAGUCCAGAAUCUUUGCACUAUAUUGACCCCUCUGGCAGAUUGAACGCAUAUCAGCAAGUCUAUACUACAGGAAUGCGCCUUAUGCUAGUGAGGAAAUUGAUGUGGUUCGUGAGCAAUGGGCUAAGUUUUUUACCAGAAAGUAUUUAUUAUUGGCCUGAGCGCGUUUGAUCGAGUUGGCUUAGAUGUUAUAGAACAAUAUUUUGUAUUAAAAUGUAUGCGUACGUUGAAAUUGGAACGUACAUAUAUUUAAAUGUAUUAGUACGUGCACUUUGGUUUUGGAAUAUAUACAAAACUACAGUUAUUGUUUAUAUAUUUGUUAUACAGGU